rnacentral:lncRNA from 1 species
AGAAGACACAGGUUCACAUCGGCUCAUCUUCACAUAAUGACCGGAAGCAGUUGGGGUUUGACUCCUACAUACAACCCUAAAGUAUAUGCUAAGUGCCACUGCUGUAUCCAAAUUGUGCUCGUCUUCCUGCACUUCAUCUUCAGGCUACAGAUUGGCAGCAAAGUGGUAAUUAAGUGAAGCAUGCUGGGAGAAUGGGUAUAGAUUCUACUGCUCAACAGGAAAGGUGUCAAGACACAGCAGAAAAGAAUA